rnacentral:rRNA from 1 species
GAUGAACGCUGGCGGCGUGCUUAACACAUGCAAGUCGAACGGAAAGGCCCUUCUUUUGUGGGGUGCUCGAGUGGCGAACGGGUGAGUAACACGUGAGUAACCUGCCCUGGACUUUGGGAUAACUUCAGGAAACUGGGUCUAAUACCGGAUAGGAGGUUGGUUUGGAUGGCGGUGGGUGGAGAGUUUCGGCGGUUGGGGAUGUACUCGCGGCUUAUCAGCUUGUUGGUGGGGUAGUGGCUUACCAAGGCUUUGACGGGUAGCCGGCCUGAGAGGGUGAGCGGCCACAUUGGGACUGAGAUACGGCCCAGACUCCUACGGGAGGCAGCAGUGGGGAAUAUUGCACAAUGGGCGCAAGCCUGAUGCAGCGACGCCGCGUGCGGGAUGACGGCCUUCGGGUUGUAAACCGCUUUCGCCUGUGACGAAGCGCGAGUGACGGUACCUGGAGAAGAAGCACCGGCUAACUACGUG